rnacentral:sRNA from 3 species
AUGUACCACGCGAGCACUGCGGUUCUGAGCGCGCCGUCCGCGCCCGCCUGGCGGUGGUGAGCGCAGUCGUUUUGUUAGUC